UACGAAGGGGGCUAGCGUUGCUCGGAAUUACUGGGCGUAAAGCGCACGUAGGCGGAUCGUUAAGUCGGAGGUGAAAUCCUGGAGCUCAACUCCAGAACUGCCUUCGAUACUGGCGAUCUUGGAGUCCGGGAGAGGUGAGUGGAACUCCGAGUGUAGAGGUGAAAUUCGUAGAUAUUCGGAGGAACACCAGUGGCGAAGGCGGCUCACUGGUCCGGUACUGGACGCUGAGG
rnacentral:rRNA from 1 species